AUAAGACCCGCUUACUUGUAGGCAUACAGGGACUGCAGAUAAGCCCGGACGUCUGUAUUAGAGUCCUCGGGGGAGGAUUUCUACAACAUGUGGCAUUGUUCUUCUUGAGGCUGCUCUCUUCAAGAAGGGCACUAUCUACCACAGUCUGGUAGAAGAUCUGUAGCAGCUUCUUGUAUACGUUGAAGAACGUAGCAUCCAUGUUGGCUGUCCAGUCCAGUCCAUCAUCCAGAUGCACUCCCAGGAAAUCCUUCACUUUCUCUCCAUUGGCUACGACGUACUGAGGUGGUGAGAGGACCCCAAACACCUGCAUUCCGCCCAGUAUAAGACCAUCUAGUGCUCCAUUCAUUCUAAUAGGGACACUCAUCACCUGGGACUGAAGUAGCGUGGUAUUAAAUAUCUCUUAUGUACAAUACAGUAAAUGAAUGCUAGCUUUUGCCUACCUGUUCAGCAGUGAAGAUAAUGUAACAAUAAGUUCCCCUUUCAAAUGUGUCAAUACUAUCCCCAUCAUCCCAGAACAAGUCGCCCCAGGCUGAACCUGCUGCUGAGAGCGCAACGGUCAGGAAAAAGGGGUUUCUGCGUGAGGCCGCUGUUGUUAAAGCAGAUUCCUUCAUGAAGGGGAAAAAACACAUAAAAGUAAUUAUUUUACUUUAAAAUAAUAUUAGCUUAUUAUAAGUGUAGUGUAUUGCCAUAGUGACCCUGUGGGAGAAGUCUGGAAGGCAAAAAAAUGACUUACUGUGUCUUUAAGAAAAUACUAAACAAACAGUGUGCACCUUUCAGUUAAAAUGUCACUAUCAUUAGAGUUGGAAGGCAAGACAACCAGAUGAACCAGUUUUAGUUGUUUAGCACAGAUUGCAUCAAAACGGAUUCCACCUAACACCUUAUCACCUGUCUGAUAAAUGAUUACAUUUUGGCAAACGGAAUAUUGUCUUCUAUGGCUAUACAAACAUGGAACCUACCAAAAUAAUGAUUAGACUCUUGUAUUUCAUUAGAAGUUUCUACGUUUUUCCAUUCUUUAGCAAUUAACAGUAGAACAUAGGUAAGUUUCAGCAAAAUAUCAGUUCCCUAAAAGAAAAGGGAGAAAAACUUUUUUGUGAAGUGAUACUUGCAUACUCAUGCAUAUCCUUCACUUUGACUCAAAUGGUUUACUUUUGGGACAGCUCAAAGAUCAAAACAACUAUACCACAAUAAUAAAAUAAAUAAAUAAAUAAUAAAAUAACAAUUUAUUUACAAAUAUAACACAAUGAACUAUUUACAAUUUCACAUUGUGUGCAUGUGUUAAAAAUUUCCUACAAUGCAUAACCUUCUGUUCAGGGUCUUCCACUUGGUGUAAAAAAAAAAAAACAUAAAAAUGUAUAAAUAGUCUUUGGGAUUGGGCGUUUGUAUUUAUAGACACGUAUAAAUAUGUCUUUAGUAUUGAAUUAGUUAAUUAAAUAAAUUAAAAUUACAUUACAUGUGGUGACUUUAAGUAUUAGAGGCAGUUACCCUGCAUAUCCAACAGAUGGUGCUGUUGUAACACUUGACUCAUACAAAGCGUCAUUACAAAGGGAAACGAUUGAACUAUAAAUCCUCAGAUAAUGUCAACAGUAAAGAGUUAACUGCUGAGCACAUUUUAAUUCUGUUGCUAACCAAAACAGCGGCACCUAUGGAAGAACCCUCUCUGAUCAAUUUAAGAGUUAAGUCUGUCAUAUUCAUAUCCUUUUUAUUUUAACUCCUUUCACUCACACCAUAUACAGUCAUCAUUGUUUAGAACUACUGUAAAGAUUUGUUUUCGUGAAA